UGUCUGUGCUAUGGAUGAUUUUACGAUCUAAUUCAUAGACAAAACCCUAUUCAUUUGGCACCCAAAUGUCAUAUAGCCGGAACUGAGGCUUAUAAAGUUUACUGUUUUAUAACUUUUUAAAGGAAAGACGGCAUCAGUGUAAGCAGUCGGUAAAUGUGCAAAUCUCUAGUUGCGCUUUAGCUGCUCUGAGGAGUUUCCCAAUCGAGCUAGGAUGGGAUCUUGAUCUGGCGCUCGGUGAGGCAGAGCGCGUUGGCGAUCUCGAUGCGGCGGCGCCGCGUCAGGUAGCGGUUGAAGUGGAACUCCUUCUCCAGCUCCAGCGUCUGGUAGCGCGUGUAGGUCUGGCGGCCUCGGCGCCCGUGACUCCCGUACACAGCACCUGCGGUCAGAAAUGGCCGGGCGCCGGGAAACACCUUACCCGCGCAGGAGUUCAUCCGCUGCAUCCAGGGGUAAACAGGACUCGUGUACUUCCGGUCGGUGCCUUCGUCAUGGAGGGCUUUGCCCGGC